GACGAACGCUGGCGGCGUGCUUAACACAUGCAAGUCGAACGGAAAGGCCCUGCUUGCAGGGUGCUCGAGUGGCGAACGGGUGAGUAACACGUGGGUGAUCUGCCCCUUACUUUGGGAUAAGCCUGGGAAACUGGGUCUAAUACUGGAUAGGACCAUGCUGUAGGUGGUGUGGUGGAAAGAUUAGUUUCGGUAAGGGAUGAGCUCGCGGCCUAUCAGCUUGUUGGUGGGGUAAUGGCCUACCAAGGCGUCGACGGGUAGCCGGCCUGAGAGGGUGGACGGCCACAUUGGGACUGAGAUACGGCCCAGACUCCUACGGGAGGCAGCAGUGGGGAAUAUUGCACAAUGGGCGCAAGCCUGAUGCAGCGACGCCGCGUGGGGGAUGACGGCCUUCGGGUUGUAAACUCCUUUCAGCCAUGACGAAGCCCUUGUGGUGACGGGAGUGGUAGAAGAAGCACCGGCUAACUACG
rnacentral:rRNA from 1 species